rnacentral:rRNA from 1 species
GUGGGGAAUAUUGGACAAUGGGCGAAAGCCUGAUCCAGCCAUGCCGCGUGUGUGAAGAAGGUCUUCGGAUUGUAAAGCACUUUAAGUUGGGAGGAAGGGCAGUAAGUUAAUACCUUGCUGUUUUGACGUUACCGACAGAAUAAGCACCGGCUAACUUCGUGCCAGCAGCCGCGGUAAUACGAAGGGUGCAAGCGUUAAUCGGAAUUGCUGGGCGUAAAGCGCGCGUAGGUGGUUUUGUAAGUUGGAGGUGAAAUCCCCGGGCUCAACCUGGGAACUGCCUCCAAAACUGCAUGACUAGAGUACGGUAGAGGGUAGUGGAAUUUCCUGUGUAGCGGUGAAAUGCGUAGAUAUAGGAAGGAACACCAGUGGCGAAGGCGACUACCUGGACUGAUACUGACACUGAGGUGCGAAAGCGUGGGGAGCAAACAGGAUUAGAAACCCUUGUAGUCC